rnacentral:rRNA from 1 species
GUAAGGAGUUUUCGGCAAUGGGGGGAACCCUGACCGAGCAACGCCGCGUGAGUGAUGACGGCCCUAUGGGUUGUAAAGCUCUGUUAUAAGGGACGAACAGCUUUGCUAGGAAAUGAGCAGAGUCUGACGGUACUUUAUCAGAAAGCCACGGCUAACUACGUGCCAGCAGCCGCGGUAAUACGUAGGUGGCAAGCGUUAUCCGGAAUUAUUGGGCGUAAAGAGUGAGCAGGCGGCAGAUUAAGUUUGAGGUUAAAGCGUGGGGCUCAACCCCAUAAAGCCUUGAAAACUGAUCAGCUAGAGUACGAGAGAUGUGAAGGGAACUCCAUGUGUAGCGGUGAAAUGCGUAGAUAUAUGGAAGAACACCAGUGGCGAAGGCGCUUCACAAGCUCGAAACUGACGCUCAGUCACGAAAGCGUGGGUAGCAAAUAGGAUUAGAAACCCGGGUAGUCC